rnacentral:rRNA from 1 species
AAUAAGGGCGGAGGAA